CCCUUAGAUGUCCUGGGCUGCACGCGCGCUACACUGAUGUGUCCAGUAAGCACCUAACCUAUUCCGAGAGGAGCGGGUAACCUUAGCAAAGCACAUCGUGAUGGGGAUAGAUUAUUGCAAUUAUUAGUCUUGAACGAGGAAUUCCUAGUAAGCACAAGUCAUCAGCUUGUGUUGAUUAUGUCCCUGCCCUUUGUACACACCGCCCGUCGCUCCUACCGAUUGAAUGUUCCGGUGAGCUCUUCGGACUGCGCGGUCUGCAGUUUCUGCGUUCCGUGCGGAAAGUUGUGCAAACCUUAACAUUUAGAGGAAGGAGAAGUCGUAACA
rnacentral:rRNA from 1 species